ACAACAGCUCUUGUUCUCCUAUCAGACUGCUGUCCAGCUAGAGGGAUCUGAUUUCACUGGUAUCCCUUUUUAAACCCUACUUCUAAGAGGGUUUGUAGCUAUUUCAUCUGUGUUAAGCAGCGCUGUGUUACCCGAGGCUAUAUGCUACGUUCUAUAUGAUCAAAGCAGAAAUGCAAGCAGCUUCUGACGAAGAGUUAUCAUGGCUGAGGGGAAAAAAUAUCAAGGAAGGAGAAAAAAGAUACAGCGCUACAAAAUACCAGGUCAUGCCACCAAAGUAAACACCCACAGAGCAGAGGCACUCCACAGCCCACAUUGUGCUCAGGGGAGGUGACGACUAACAUACCUGUGGAAGCCCUGAGAACCUCACUGAGAGCCGAUAGGCAUGCAGGAAUUUAGAAGCCCUGAAGCCAUGUCUGAACCAGGAACUUCAGAGCACAGACUUUCAGUCCCUGGGGGAAGGGUGUUUUCAUUCACUGCAAAGCUGGUACAGCAACAGCCUGAACACCAGGACCUACCAGCCUCAGCCUGCAAAGCUUCUUCAGACUUUGAUCUUCAGAGAGAUCAAACAGGGUCAGGCCACAGAUAGCAGAUUUUGAAUGAAAACCCAGACAGGGCUUUGUGACGUGGAGAUGAUGUGGAGAGCUUAAAAAGAAGACAAGACAGAGCAAGUAGUCCAGCCUGACACAUCAUUGGUUUUGUGCUCAACUAAAUCAAGUCAGAAUUCAGACCUCUUACAGUAGUUACUGCUUCUCCUACCCCAGCGUUUGGAUCCAACAGCCCCAAACAAGCUCGUGUCUGCAGCAAAUCACGGUUGUUCCGAGCAAGUCACCGCCGUGUUUCUAAGAAAAGAUGCGCUUCCCCAAAUGAAAUCACACACGUUAUUUGAAGAGAAACCACCUCAACCAUCCUAAACAUCCUGUGCUGCCACGAACGCAGCUCCCAGCGGGCGCUGCGGGGUUUUGUUUCGCACCGGAUGAGGCUGUCUGCCUGUCUGCCUCGCUAUCCGCCCAUCUCCGCACACACCUGUCUCUCUGGCCCCGCACAACCGUCUGCCUCCCGUCUCCCAUUGCUGCGUGUUGCAACAAGGCCUGGUGUGGCUGCCCCUCCCUGAGCACCGCGAGGCUGAGCCAGCAGCGCCAGACCCGGUGCCACCCCUGGGCCAUGCUCGGCAGGGUGAGCAGCAGGAUGGGGAGGCAGUGCCCGGCUGGGGGGGAGCGCGGGGACCUGCCCUUCUUCCCAGUGGGAGAGGGAGCUGCCACGAUUGGAAAGUGCAAGAACAACCUUUCUUCUCUCUUCUUUUCCAAGAUAGCAUCGGCUGUAUACUUACCUGCUUUAUGGGCCCGAUCUGGAAAUGAAUGAAAGGGAAACUGGUGGGGGAGGGAGCGCCCUCUGAGCUGCCUCAGGUACGCAUCUCUCCAUCGCCUGCUUGCAGCUUCCCUCUUCUGACCUCGCAGCCACCACGAGAUCUGUAUCUCCUGAUGACCACAGGUGUUUCACAGAACGGAGAAACUGAGGGGAUAUUCAGUGAAUGUCACGAAGAAAGCGGUGACAGCGGCUGAGCGCAGCUCCCAGCCCCAGCACUAAACCAGCACUCCCACCAUGGGGAAAUGGCGCAGAGUAAGGAGCAUCAUCAGCACAGCUCAGAAAGCAGGACGGGAUUUUGUUUAUUGGUUUCAGAUGUUUAAUUUUAAGUAAUAUGGAAAAUACUGACGAUCCACAAGAGGAGAAACAAGAGUUGAGGAGCAGCAAGGGUUGAGGAGAAGCAAGGGUUGAAUAAUAUAGAAAAAGAUGUGCAAAAAAAUCAAAGAAACCGGGAAGGAGUAAAAAAUAAGUGCAAAGUUCCAGGAGUGGGGAAAAAAAGGUGGGAAUUUUGCCCACCCAGAAGAGGCACCUGCAGGCUCACCCCAGCAGAAUGCUGCCUCGGAUAUCACCCUGCGCACGGGGUGAAGCUCAACCAGGCAAGGGUAAUGCCUACAAUUAAAGCCAGAACAAACCACAUGCUUAUUGGAUUCAGCGUGAAACUGUUCUUCACUGCCAGCUGCAGGGAGUAGAUGAUCUGAUAGGUCCUUUUCUUCUCUAAUUCUCUUGAUUGCCUAUGGGUAUUGUUAUUGCUUAUGUUGGCCAAAACCUGACCAUGUAUCUGGAUAGAGUGUACUGUAAGAGAGGCAGUUAUUUGACAGGAAUACUGCAAAUGUGUCCAGUUUGUGAAGGCAGAUUCCAUUCACUGUGCACACCGAUGUCAUUUGUUCUUUCGGGGUCUUCAGUAACUUCUACCACACAUGGCAAAGAAUACCACUACAAUGUCAUCACAUGCCUUUGUUGGUGUGGGUUAAUCCACAAAUUCUCAGUGAAGAUCUGUUGUGGGUUAUGCUGGAUGCUUAUGGAUGUCUUCAGAGCUAAUGAGCAAGCAACCACACUGCCCAAAUUUGCUUCGCUUUUAAUUGUGGCCGUUUUCCCUGCCCUCUGUAAAGAACUGCUUUCUUCUCUUCCACCUACCUAUGCCUCUGUACUACUCAAAGGAUUUCAUGCUUAGAUUACGUGUGCUACCAUGUACAUGAUUUAAGGUAAAACUUCCCCUUAGUACCAAACAAUAUGGGAACCCCCACCGUGAUUCCAAGCAUCCUGGAUGAGAAAAGGAGCCCAGCCAGGAGAGAGUGCUGCCUGCCACUGCCCUCGGCUGGGCACCCAGGGAAGGCUGUAGUGCCCUCCUCCUUCCAUCUCUCUGCAGCUCAGGGGGUUCCUGAGCCUGCACAGAUCACCACUGCUGGCCAAAUUUUCUGCAAUUUAUGUGCUGCAAAACCUCCGGCUGCUACAGGAUAUAAAUCAGUGGAGUCAUUGACAAUAAUUGGAAAAAAAAAUCCGUGAUGUUAAAGGCAUAAUAUGAAUCUUGAUCUUAAUCUGGGCUAAAUCUCCAGCAACAUAAAUUACCUGUCUGCUUGGCUAGCUCUGUUCUCUGCGGUCCCUAUGGAGUCUGACUAUGUAAUGGGCACGGUGUAACACGAUAGAUGGAACAAGGCUUUCUGUGCUCUCAAAUCCAGCUGAAGAGUGGCAGAAUGAUGUGUUCAGAUGAGUUCCUCUCUCCUUUUCAGGUACUGGACAAUUACACAUGAAGCACAACAAGUCCAGUUGCCACUGAUGGUCUAAUGCAAGUGGCAGAGCAACUGUGCUAGUUAAAUCUCUGUAUUAGUGACAUCUUACAGCACAGUGGCAUUAGUAAGAAAUGAAUUUUAAUUAAAUACUUGUACCUAAAAUCACAGAAUCACAGAAUGGUUUGAGUUGGAAGGGACCCCCAGAAGCCAUCUGGUCCCACUGCCUGCAGAGCACAGGGACACCCACAGCUCCAUCAGUGCUCACAGCCCUCCAGCCCGACCCUGGGGGUCUGCAGGGAUGGGCGCCACCACUCUGAGCAGCCUGUGCAGUGCCUUUCCACUCUAAUGGUAAAAAAACCUUCCUUAUAUCCAAUGUCAAUUUCCCUCUGUAGAUUGGUAAGGGUGUCUGGAAGGACAAAGAAAUCUGUGUAACACAUCUACAACUUCAGUGUUGCAGUUGUCAUCAUUUUAGAUUUAAACUUCAAGUGCACAGUGCUUACUUUUGCAACACUCUGUUAAUGCGCGUUGAGAGAAGUUAGCAUUUACACAGAUCAGAUCUAACCUUAAGGAAGCCUGCCUCAAACGAGCACACAGAGCUGAUUUCUGAAAACAUCAUAAUCCGAGGAAACUUUAUCCCCGCCGGCUGCUUGCCGGGGCGCGCCGACAGCCCGGCUCCUUCCUCCCUCUCGGCCAGGUACGAUCCAGCAGAAGCGCGGCGCAGAUCAGCUCCGCAGAGCUCUGUGCCCUGCAGGACGGCGAGGAAUGCAGCGCUUCCAGAAAGCAGAGCUGUCAGGAGAGACCUCCUUGGUGAGCGGCAGGCACGCACUGAUCCUGCACUGCAGCCACCAGGAGCAGUGGGGGCCCAGCAGCUGCCUGCCGGCCCACAGCUCCCAGCGCGUCCUCAGUUCGGCCACACCGUGCGCUCCUCUUCACCACCGCGCAGCUGAAACAGGUCGGGAUCCGGCACAGAGCUGCUCUGUCAGAUUGGCAAUAAGGCGACAAGAUGGAAAAAAAAAAAAAGAAAAAAAAAGAAAGGCUGCAAUAAUGUUAAAAAUAUCGUAAAAUGUUAUUUAUACCAGGAUACAUUUGUUACCCCAUGUGACAAUCAUUCAUUUUUCUUGACAGAUAUAAACCUCUGCUUAACACAUUAGUAUCAUAAAUAUUAUCAGAUAUAACGCUGUAAUUUAAUACCUACCAAAUGCAUUUUAAAAUAUUACUCAAUUUAAAACUUUGGAUUUUAACCAGAUGUGUUUCCAGAAAAUGAUUCGGGUCAGAUGCUUUUUUCUUUCCCUUUCUCUGUGCGUGCGCGUUCAAAGCGGAGCAUUGCUCUGUGAUUUAUUGCACCACGACUGCGUGCCCCCAACCCACAGCAGCACCGCGAUGCUUCAUCCUUGAGGCACACACACCUGCAGUCCAAACUAACAAGAGAAAACAUCUACAUGGCACGGCAGGAGCCUUUGAAAUGUCUCUUUGCAGUUGCCUGGACACAGAACAGACUGGUAGAACGGGGAGGCAGCGGAGAAAGGGUGAAGGCAGCAACUCUGGCCUCUUUCAUCUAGAAAGGGGGGACCAUGGAGAGAUUAG